rnacentral:lncRNA from 1 species
AUGCUAAAUCAGUUAAUCCAUAGUGGUAACAUUUCAGGGAUCACACUCCAGACUAUUAAUGAGGAAAAUAGGACAAUUCAAACUUCUCUGAGGU